rnacentral:rRNA from 1 species
UCGCGGCCUAUCAGCUUGUUGGUGAGGUAAUGGCCCACCAAGGCGUCGACGGGUAGCCGGCCUGAGAGGGUGACCGGCCACACUGGGACUGAGACACGGCCCAGACUCCUACGGGGGGCAGCAGUGGGGAAUAUUGCACAAUGGGCGCAAGCCUGAUGCAGCAACGCCGCGUGAGGGAUGACGGCCUUCGGGUUGUAAACCUCUUUUAGCAGGGAAGAAGCGAAAGUGACGGUACCUGCAGAAAAAGCGCCGGCUAACUACGUGCCAGCAGCCGCGGUAAUACGUAGGGCGCAAGCGUUAUCCGGAAUUAUUGGGCGUAAAGAGCUCGUAGGCGGUUUGUCGCGUCUGCUGUGAAAUCCCGAGGCUCAACCUCGGGCCUGCAGUGGGUACGGGCAGACUAGAGUGCGGUAGGGGAGAUUGGAAUUCCUGGUGUAGCGGUGGAAUGCGCAGAUAUCAGGAGGAACACCGAUGGCGAAGGCAGAUCUCUGGGCCGUAACUGACGCUGAGGAGCGAAAGGGUGGGGAGCAAACAGGCUUAGAUACCCUGGUAGUCCACCCCGUAAACGUUGGGAACUAGUUGUGGGGUCCUUUCCACGGAUUCCGUGACGCAGCUAACGCAUUAAGUUCCCCGCCUGGGGAGUACGGCCGCAAGGCUAAAACUCAAAGGAAUUGACGGGGACCCGCACAAGCGGCGGAGCAUGCGGAUUAAUUCGAUGCAACGCGAAGAACCUUACCAAGGCUUGACAUACACGAGAACGGGCCAGAAAUGGUCAACUCUUUGGACACUCGUGAACAGGUGGUGCAUGGUUGUCGUCAGCUCGUGUCGUGAGAUGUUGGGUUAAGUCCCGCAACGAGCGCAACCCUCGUUCUAUGUUGCCAGCACGUUAUGGUGGGAACUCAUGGGAUACUGCCGGGGUCAACUCGGAGGAAGGUGGGGAUGACGUCAAAUCAUCAUGCCCCUUAUGUCUUGGGCUUCACGCAUGCUACAAUGGCCGGUACAAAGGGCUGCAAUACCGUGAGGUGGAGCGAAUCCCAAAAAGCCGGUCCCAGUUCGGAUUGAGGUCUGCAACUCGACCUCAUGAAGUCGGAGUCGCUAGUAAUCGCAGAUCAGCAACGCUGCGGUGAAUACGUUCCCGGGUCUUGUACACACCGCCCGUCAAGUCAUGAAAGUCGGUAACACCUGAAGCCGGUGGCCUAACCCUUGUGGAGGGAGCCGUCGAAGGUGGGGCUGGA